rnacentral:rRNA from 1 species
UUCGAGCAUGUCUCCCUUCUCGGGAAGCUCCCUCGACCCCACGAACCCUUGACCUCAAAUCGGGUGAGACUACCCGCUGAACUUAAGCAUAUCAAUAAGCGGAGGAAAAGAAACUAACAAGGAUUCCCCUAGUAACUGCGAGUGAAGCGGGAAAAGCUCAAAUUUAAAAUCUGGCGGUCUUUGGCCGUCCGAGUUGUAAUUUAGAGAAGCG